rnacentral:rRNA from 1 species
GUCUAUGGCCGUAUCACCUUCAACGUGCCCAAUCUCCUCUGAUCUCAGAAGGUCAGCUGGGUUGGGCCUGGUUAGUAUUUGGAUGGGAAAAAUUAAAAUCAAUCACUUUUUAAAAAUUAAGGAACUACAAUGA